AUUUACGGAGAGUUUGAUCCUGGCUCAGGACGAACGCUGGCGGCGUGCUUAACACAUGCAAGUCGAACGAUGAAGCCGGAGCUUGCUCUGGUGGAUUAGUGGCGAACGGGUGAGUAACACGUGAGUAACCUGCCCUUGACUCUGGGAUAAGCGUUGGAAACGACGUCUAAUACCGGAUACGAGCUGGGACCGCAUGGUCACCAGCUGGAAAGAACUUCGGUCAAGGAUGGACUCGCGGCCUAUCAGUUAGUUGGUGAGGUAACGGCUCACCAAGACGACGACGGGUAGCCGGCCUGAGAGGGUGACCGGCCACACUGGGACUGAGACACGGCCCAGACUCCUACGGGAGGCAGCAGUGGGGAAUAUUGCACAAUGGGCGCAAGCCUGAUGCAGCAACGCCGCGUGAGGGACGACGGCCUUCGGGUUGUAAACCUCUUUUAGCAGGGAAGAAGCGCAAGUGACGGUACCUGCAGAAAAAGCACCGGCUAACUACGUGCCAGCAGCCGCGGUAAUACGUAGGGUGCAAGCGUUGUCCGGAAUUAUUGGGCGUAAAGAGCUCGUAGGCGGUUUGUCGCGUCUGCUGUGAAAACCCGAGGCUCAACCUCGGGCCUGCAGUGGGUACGGGCAGACUAGAGUGCGGUAGGGGAGAUUGGAAUUCCUGGUGUAGCGGUGGAAUGCGCAGAUAUCAGGAGGAACACCGAUGGCGAAGGCAGAUCUCUGGGCCGUAACUGACGCUGAGGAGCGAAAGCGUGGGGAGCGAACAGGAUUAGAUACCCUGGUAGUCCACGCCGUAAACGUUGGGAACUAGAUGUAGGGACCAUUCCACGGUUUCUGUGUCGCAGCUAACGCAUUAAGUUCCCCGCCUGGGGAGUACGGUCGCAAGACUAAAACUCAAAGGAAUUGACGGGGGCCCGCACAAGCGGCGGAGCAUGCGGAUUAAUUCGAUGCAACGCGAAGAACCUUACCAAGGCUUGACAUAUAGAGGAAACGUCUGGAAACAGUCGCCCCGCAAGGUCUCUAUACAGGUGGUGCAUGGUUGUCGUCAGCUCGUGUCGUGAGAUGUUGGGUUAAGUCCCGCAACGAGCGCAACCCUCGUCCUAUGUUGCCAGCACGUAAUGGUGGGAACUCAUGGGAGACUGCCGGGGUCAACUCGGAGGAAGGUGGGGAUGACGUCAAAUCAUCAUGCCCCUUAUGUCUUGGGCUUCACGCAUGCUACAAUGGCCACGCCACGGUGAAUACGUUCCCGGGCCUUGUACACACCGCCCGUCAAGUCAUGAAAGUCGGUAACACCCGAAGCCAGUGGCCCAACCGCAAGGAGGGAGCUGUCGAAGGUGGGAUCGGUGAUUAGGACUAAGUCGUAACAAGGUAGCCGUACCGGAAGGUGCGGCUGGAUCACCUCCUUUCUAAGGA
rnacentral:rRNA from 1 species